rnacentral:lncRNA from 10 species
AAUCGUGCAGCCUGUAGGUCUGGCCUUUCUCACUCAGCAUGACGCAUUUGAGAGCCAUCCGCGUUGCCACCCGGACAGGCAAUUGGUUCCUUUUUUUGCUUAGGAAUAUUCCGUGCACAGGUCUAUCUCAAUACCUUGGAGUUGAUGGCAGAUCACAUCUGAGCACACCUUAGACUCUACAAGAAGCUGCCUGACCGCUUGCCAGCAUGGCUGCCCCGUCUCACCUUUCCAGCAGCGACGGGCAAGGUUCUGGCCACUCCACAUCCUCCUGGCAUGCAGUGCUUCUCGUUUUUAAAUUUUUAUUUAUUUAUUUAUUUAUUUUGAGACAGGGUCUGGCUCUGUCACCCAGGCU